rnacentral:rRNA from 1 species
GUGGGGAAUCCUGCACAAUGGGGGCAACCCUGAUGCAGCGACGCCGCGUGAGCGAUGAAGCCCUUCGGGGCGUAAAGCUCUUUCGACCGGAACGAUAAUGACGGUACCGGGAGAAGAAGCUGCGGCUAACUACGUGCCAGCAGCCGCGGUAAUACGUAGGCAGCAAGCGUUGUUCGGAGUUACUGGGCGUAAAGAGUGCGUAGGCGGUUUUCUAAGUUCGGUGUGAAAUCUCCCGGCUUAACUGGGAGGGUGCGCCGAAGACUGGGAAGCUGGAGUGUGGGAAAGGCAGGCGGAAUUCCUGGUGUAGCGGUGAAGUGCGUAGAUAUCAGGAGGAACACCGGCGGUGUAGACGGCUUGCUAGACCAUAACUGACGCUGAGGCACGAAAGCGUGGGUAGCAAACA